rnacentral:rRNA from 1 species
AGAUUGAACGCUGGCGGCAGGCCUAACACAUGCAAGUCGAACGGUAACAGGAAACAGCUUGCUGUUUCGCUGACGAGUGGCGGACGGGUGAGUAAUGUCUGGGAAACUGCCUGAUGGAGGGGGAUAACUACUGGAAACGGUAGCUAAUACCGCAUAACGUCGCAAGACCAAAGAGGGGGACCUUCGGGCCUCUUGCCAUCGGAUGUGCCCAGAUGGGAUUAGCUAGUAGGUGGGGUAACGGCUCACCUAGGCGACGAUCCCUAGCUGGUCUGAGAGGAUGACCAGCCACACUGGAACUGAGACACGGUCCAGACUCCUACGGGAGGCAGCAGUGGGGAAUAUUGCACAAUGGGCGCAAGCCUGAUGCAGCCAUGCCGCGUGUAUGAAGAAGGCCUUCGGGUUGUAAAGUACUUUCAGCGGGGAGGAAGGGAGUAAAGUUAAUACCUUUGCUCAUUGACGUUACCCGCAGAAGAAGCACCGGCUAACUCCGUGCCAGCAGCCGCGGUAAUACGGAGGGUGCAAGCGUUAAUCGGAAUUACUGGGCGUAAAGCGCACGCAGGCGGUUUGUUAAGUCAGAUGUGAAAUCCCCGGGCUCAACCUGGGAACUGCAUCUGAUACUGGCAAGCUUGAGUCUCGUAGAGGGGGGUAGAAUUCCAGGUGUAGCGGUGAAAUGCGUAGAGAUCUGGAGGAAUACCGGUGGCGAAGGCGGCCCCCUGGACGAAGACUGACGCUCAGGUGCGAAAGCGUGGGGAGCAAACAGGAUUAGAUACCCUGGUAGUCCACGCCGUAAACGAUGUCGACUUGGAGGUUGUGCCCUUGAGGCGUGGCUUCCGGAGCUAACGCGUUAAGUCGACCGCCUGGGGAGUACGGCCGCAAGGUUAAAACUCAAAUGAAUUGACGGGGGCCCGCACAAGCGGUGGAGCAUGUGGUUUAAUUCGAUGCAACGCGAAGAACCUUACCUGGUCUUGACAUCCACGGAAGUUUUCAGAGAUGAGAAUGUGCCUUCGGGAACCGUGAGACAGGUGCUGCAUGGCUGUCGUCAGCUCGUGUUGUGAAAUGUUGGGUUAAGUCCCGCAACGAGCGCAACCCUUAUCCUUUGUUGCCAGCGGUCCGGCCGGGAACUCAAAGGAGACUGCCAGUGAUAAACUGGAGGAAGGUGGGGAUGACGUCAAGUCAUCAUGGCCCUUACGACCAGGGCUACACACGUGCUACAAUGGCGCAUACAAAGAGAAGCGACCUCGCGAGAGCAAGCGGACCUCAUAAAGUGCGUCGUAGUCCGGAUUGGAGUCUGCAACUCGACUCCAUGAAGUCGGAAUCGCUAGUAAUCGUGGAUCAGAAUGCCACGGUGAAUACGUUCCCGGGCCUUGUACACACCGCCCGUCACACCAUGGGAGUGGGUUGCAAAAGAAGUAGGUAGCUUAACCUUCGGGAGGGCGCUUACCACUUUGUGAUUCAUGACUGGGGUGAAGUCGUAACAAGGUAACCGUAGGGGAACCUGCGGUUGGAUCACCUCCUUACCUUAAAGAAGC